UUAAGUGACUAAGCGUACAAGGUGGAUGCCUUGGCAAUCAGAGGCGAAGAAGGACGUGCUAAUCUGCGAAAAGCUUGGAUGAGUCGAUAAGAGGCGUUUAAUCCAAGAUAUCCGAAUGGGGAAACCCAGUAGAUGAAGAAUCUACUAUCAACAAGUGAAUUCAUAGCUUGUUGAGGCAAACCGGGAGAACUGAAACAUCUAAGUACCCCGAGGAAAAGAAAUCAACCGAGAUUUCGUCAGUAGCGGCGAGCGAAAGCGAAAGAGCCAGUAAGUGAUAACAGUAUGGUUAGGAGAAUGUGUUGGGAAGCACAAUCAAAGAGGGUGAUAAUCCCGUAUCUAAAAACCAUAUUGUGGUACUAAGCUAACGAGAAGUAGGGCGGGACACGUGAUAUCCUGUUUGAAGAAGGGGGGACCAUCCUCCAAGGCUAAAUACUCCUGAUUGACCGAUAGUGAACCAGUACUGUGAAGGAAAGGCGAAAAGAACCCCGGUGAGGGGAGUGAAAUAGAACCUGAAACCUUGUACGUACAAGCAGUGGGAGCCUGAAAGGGUGACUGCGUACCUUUUGUAUAAUGGGUCAGCGACUUAUAUUUUGUAGCGAGGUUAACCGAAUAGGGGAGCCGAAGGGAAACCGAGUCUUAACUGGGCGAAGAGUUGCAAGGUAUAGACCCGAAACCCGGUGAUCUAGCCAUGGGCAGGUUGAAGGUUGGGUAACACUAACUGGAGGACCGAACCGACUAAUGUUGAAAAAUUAGCGGAUGACUUGUGGCUGGGGGUGAAAGGCCAAUCAAACCGGGAGAUAGCUGGUUCUCCCCGAAAUCUAUUUAGGUAGAGCCUUGAGGUGACACCUUUGGGGGUAGAGCACUGUUUCGGCUAGGGGGCCAUCCCGGCUUACCAACCCGAUGCAAACUACGAAUACCAAAGAGUGAUACUCAGGAGACACACGGCGGGUGCUAACGUCCGUCGUGGAGAGGGAAACAACCCAGACCGCCAGCUAAGGUCCCCAAGUCUAUAUUAAGUGGGAAACGAAGUGGGAAGGCUUAGACAGCUAGGAUGUUGGCUUAGAAGCAGCCAUCAUUUAAAGAAAGCGUAAUAGCUCACUAGUCGAGUCGGCCUGCGCGGAAGAUGUAACGGGGCUGAAAUAUAGCACCGAAGCUGCGGCAUCAGGCGUAUCACUAAUACGCCUUACGAUUAACAAGCUAGAAUGGUGCGAAGCGACAUGAAAGGUUGUUCAAGCAACCCGAACGUUGAGUCGGGCAUCUUAGAGUGAGGAUUAUUAGUGAUACGCCUGUUGGGUAGGGGAGCGUUGUGUAAGCGGAAGAAGGUUCAUCGAGAGGUGGGCUGGACGUAUCACAAGUGCGAAUGCUGACAUAAGUAACGAUAAAACGGGUGAAAAACCCGUUCGCCGGAAGACCAAGGGUUCCUGUCCAACGUUAAUCGGGGCAGGGUGAGUCGGCCCCUAAGGCGAGGCUGAAAAGCGUAGUCGAUGGGAAACAGGUUAAUAUUCCUGUACUUGGUAAAGCUGCGAUGUGGGGACGGAGUAGGUUAGGUUAUCGCACUGUUGGAUAUGUGCGUUUAAGUUGGUAGGUGGGAAGUUUAGGCAAAUCCGGACUUCCUUAACACAGAGAGAUGAUGACGAGGCUCUACGGAGCUGAAGUAACUGAUACCACACUUCCAGGAAAAGCCACUAAGCGAAAGGCUUUACUAAACCGUACUGAAAACCGACACAGGUGGUCAGGUAGAGAAUACUCAGGCGCUUGAGAGAACUCGGGUGAAGGAACUAGGCAAAAUAGCACCGUAACUUCGGGAGAAGGUGCGCCGGCGUAGAUUGUAAGGGCUAGCCCCUGAAGGUUGAACCGGUCGAAGAUACCAGCUGGCUGCAACUGUUUAUUAAAAACACAGCACUCUGCAAACACGAAAGUGGAGGUAUAGGGUGUGAUGCCUGCCCGGUGCUGGAAGGUUAAUUGAUGGUGUAAUCGCAAGAGAAGCACCUGAUCGAAGCCCCAGUAAACGGCGGCCGUAACUAUAACGGUCCUAAGGUAGCGAAAUUCCUUGUCGGGUAAGUUCCGACCUGCACGAAUGGCAUAAUGAUGGCCAGGCUGUCUCCACCCGAGACUCAGUGAAAUUGAAAUCGCCGUGAAGAUGCGGUGUACCCGCGGCUAGACGGAAAGACCCCGUGAACCUUUACUAUAGCUUGACACUGAACAUUGAAUUUUGAUGUGUAGGAUAGGUGGGAGCCUUUGAAGCAGUGACGCCAGUCAUUGUGGAGGCGACCUUGAAAUACCACCCUUUAACGUUUGAUGUUCUAACGAAGAUGACGAAACGUGGUCUCGGACAGUGUCUGGUGGGUAGUUUGACUGGGGCGGUCUCCUCCCAAAGCGUAACGGAGGAGCACGAAGGUUUGCUAAUCACGGUCGGACAUCGUGAGGUUAGUGCAAUGGUAUAAGCAAGCUUAACUGCGAGACAGACAAGUCGAGCAGGUACGAAAGUAGGUCAUAGUGAUCCGGUGGUUCUGAAUGGAAGGGCCAUCGCUCAACGGAUAAAAGGUACUCCGGGGAUAACAGGCUGAUACCGCCCAAGAGUUCAUAUCGACGGCGGUGUUUGGCACCUCGAUGUCGGCUCAUCACAUCCUGGGGCUGAAGUAGGUCCCAAGGGUAUGGCUGUUCGCCAUUUAAAGUGGUACGCGAGCUGGGUUUAGAACGUCGUGAGACAGUUCGGUCCCUAUCUGCCGUGGGCGUAGGAUGAUUGAUUGGGGCUGCUCCUAGUACGAGAGGACCGGAGUGGACGCAUCACUGGUGUUCCAGUUGUCUCGCCAGAGGCAUUGCUGGGUAGCUAAGUGCGGAAGAGAUAAGUGCUGAAAGCAUCUAAGCACGAAACUUGCCAAGAGAUGAGUCAUCCCUGACUUUAAGUCAGUAAGGGUUGUUGUAGACUACGACGUAGAUAGGUCUGGUGUGUAAGUGUAGUGAUACAUUGAGCUAACAGAUACUAAUUGCCCGAGAGGCUUAACU
rnacentral:rRNA from 1 species